AAUAGAAUGUGUUUAAAACACUAAGUAUACAAAAAUAACCAGUUUGGCAUUUCAGAUUUCCCCACGGAAUAUUCUGUGGAUUUCCCCGUCAUUCGAUUUCUCUCGAAGGAAAGCAGCUACCAGACCAAAAUAGUUCUACUGCAGCGUCGAUUCAGUCAAUCCACAAGAGACACGUCUCACAAUACUCUUCUGCUGGCUUUCAUCAUGUUGUCCCGUCAGCCGUCAGCAUAACCAGAAUUUUCAUCUAUCUACCAGACUUUCACAACUACAGAGUAACUGAUGGGAUUGAUGCCAUCAACUUCUGAGGGUUGCGACUUUCAAGCUGAUCAGCCACUUGAAAUAAUAAAUUUGGACAACUUCUGCUGAACCUUUUUCCUGAUGGAGUAUUUUUUCUAGCAUCACAGUGAUGUCAGGAUUCUUUGAUAAAUUAAGGAGACAAGUUUGGUUUCACCAUGAGGAUGAAGAGGCCAGUAAUCAGCCUAACGCAUCUGGACCUCAUGGAGCAGAUGCCGAAGAUGAUGGAUAUUUGCUUGUGGGCCAAACACUCAGUGAGAGAACAACAGUUUGUGCCCAGGACUUUCCAAAGAACAGUGGUCCAAAUGCUCCACCAACAUACCACCAGGUGUCCAGUGACCUUCCAUCAUAUGACAAUGUCUUGAAUGGAGGAUGCGUCGUGCUUUCUGGACCAUCAAUGUUCAACAGUGUGAGCCUGACUCCUGCUGACACUCAACAAACUGUAUUGCAUCGUCACCAACUUUCUCCUGUCUCCGACAUUCCAUUCGAAUUGCACCCCACCCUGCGUAUAAGGCAAGGCAUCGGUUCUAUUUUCGAUGGAGUUGACCUUGUGCCAAAACAGUUUGACUGGGGAAAAUAUUCACACAAUUUUGACCAUGAACAUUUGUGUCUCCGAGAAUUAAAUAGUGACAGAGCUGCAGAUUUGAGUGACUUUUCGUAUACCUCUACGUCAUUGUCUCCAAAUGUCUAUGACAGAGGUAGCAACAAUGAAGAUCUAAUGACAUUUUGAUUGCUAAAUACAUACAAAAGCAUGUUAGCCUAUGAGUAUUUUUAAGCUGUUAUGCGGAGCGGCCAUUGCUUACAUUUACUUUUUUCGGGGAAAUGCUUAACAGUAAGAUGUCCUCAGACUUUAUCAUGCAAAUCAAGUGCCUUUUUUAUGCACCGUACUUUCAAAUGGUAAACCUGGGUUUAAAAAGUGGAAACUCCAUGUUUCUUUGCCACUGUAGUCCCUAUGCUGCUACUGACCACUUCUAAAAAAAUCUUUUGGAAGUAGGAGGCACGUAAGACAGUUUAUGAGCAGUGACAUUCUUGAAUGUCAAGAGUCCCUUUUGACAGUAAAGAUUAUUCCUCUAAUGUUCAAUUUUACUCAGAGAGUAUGGAAAACAUCAGGUAUGAAGAGCUGCAUUUGCUGUGAGAACAAUUUGCCUUCGUUAUUGAUGAUUGCCAAGAAGUUUUGAGUGGAAUAGAGUAGGUGAUGGAAUGUUUUACUUUUGACUUCUAUCAAUGUGUGAAUGUUGGUCAUGUACAAAUGCAAUCUUGAAUGCUAUGCUGUUUAUGUGCUGAUGUUAUGACGAAAGUUCUUACAUUUUUCCCCCUGUUUCUGUUAUAAUCUAUGUAAUUUCAGGUUGAACUAAAAAUUGCAGUCUCUGGUCUCCUGACAUUAUAUUCACUGAGUUUAUUUACUUCACCUUUUUCAAGUCAUAAUCUACUUUUUUUACAGAGUUCCUUGCACAACCUUUCAAACAUGAUUUAUUUACUUUGACAAAUGUUUGGAAUUCUUGAUUCAAAUACUUUUUUAAAAGAAAGUCAUGAAACUUACUUAAAAUGGGCUAUUGUUUGAGGUUAUUUUCAAGUGUCAAUUUUUGGUAGCUCUUCAGGCUUUUCUGUCCCUAACCUCUUUUUGUCUUCCAGCUAUUUUUCAGUUAUAUAUCAGCAGCAUUGUGUCAAUGGGCUUCUCUUUGUUGUGUUUCUGCAGAAACAUUUUUGUUUUCAAUUUUAGAUGUCUAAAGCGUAUUUAUAUCAUGAUCACAACCAUUUUGAUAUUGUAUUUCUUUUCUCUGUUAUAUGAGAUGUGGACCUAUCCAUGACCAUAAAGACCAGUGUGCUUUCAAAGGGGCUGAUAUUCAUUUUUAUCACUUACUUUUUUAUCUGUGCUAUGUAUUUUCCCCCUUGUAUAUUAUGCAUUUAUGUGGAAAAGGCCAGUAGAAACUAUGAUACUCGAGUAUGUCCUGUCCUUCACCGCUUUAAAUAAUUUUAAUAAGUUAUGAAACAGAUGCUUUUUCUUGUCCUUUAUUGGUUUCGCUAGAAAAUAUACAACCUUAUUUUAAAUUUGUGGGGAGUAGUUUAAGAGUUUGGAUUUAGUUGAAAGUUUUUCUUAAUUUCUUAACAUGUUUACCACAAUUUUGACUGUCAGUAAGACUAUACUUUUAAAAUUUUUCUGUCAAUAAGCUUUAGUUUAUGAAGGAUCCUUACAGAAAAAAAAGUGAAGAUACAGAUAUUGUGCUAGCAUUAGUGGACUGGUGUGUGGAAACUCGGCUAUCAACAAAUUAUAUUUAUGUAAAAAUAAUAGUGGGUGGCCUUUACUAUUUCAUUUAACGUUUCAAAAUUCAUUUUCAAAAUAGGCCCUAAACAAAAAAAUUACAGUUUAUUUUAAAAGAAUUACUGUCAUGCAUGGUGUGUUAAAUGGAAUUCUGUUUUGUCUCUUGUUUUUCACUGGUUUGAAUUUGCCUGUGGUAUUCAGUAUGCCAUGAGGGCUUAUGAUUGUUAUAGACUAUUUUCAACUCAAAGUAUAUUACACAUAUACUUACUUUACCAUACCAGAACUUUUGACUAUAAAAUUAUGUAUUCAUUCCUUUAGUUGUUUCUAUUUCGUUUUUUUGCUAAUAGUUGAUGAUCGUUGCCAUAAAUUUUCGGCGUGGAACAAUGAAGUUUAUCUUAUAAUUUAUUACCAUCUAUGAGAGGCUAUGGUAAUUUUUUUUCUUUCUCAAAUGCUGUUGAUAUCUGGUAUUUUUGUUGUACGAAAGAUUAACCAAUGGUCCAGCCUUACUAAAGAUAGACUUCCAAUACUCCACAGUGUGCCUGCAAAAUUAAAUAUUUUGUGUUGCGUAGGGUGUUGAGCCUGUUCAUAAAUGAUAGAUCAUACCAAAGAGAUUUUGUGUGUUUGUGUGGGUUAAAUAAAUUUGUUUCUACUCUUUUGUAU
rnacentral:lncRNA from 1 species